AUGCGGAGGGGUCGCGCCAUGUCACUUUGGUGCGCUCUGGAGACGCUAAGUCAAAGGGUGGCGGCUCGGCUGCAGAGGGUUCGUUCGGCAGUAAUGUGGCGUGAUUGGCCCCAUGUGCGGCUGUGGUGGAGGGUGACACCGUGGCUACAACAGAGGACAACUUUGCUGCACAUGGGUUGGGCCAGGAUGCUCGGCAGGGUUACUGGCCUCUGCAUCGGCUGUGUGCUCGUCCUCCGGCGUGGCUGCACAGUCAGGCCAGGGCAUGGCUGGGUCCUCGACAUCGCCUACGUGAGCUUGUCCAGAAGGAAAGAUGGCCCUGCUCAUCAAGCUCAAGCAGCGGCGAGCAAGGCCGGCGACAACGGAAAUGUUGUGUCUGGCGCCCGUGCACCUCUCCCUGAUCUCAAUGCAGCUUGGUGUUUGUACAAAUGCUCUUCAGAGUUGGAGCACUUGGAAGGCGGGGGCAUUAAAGAGCAGAUCAAGUGGGCUGAGGCCCUUGUGGCUGCGCUGGAAGUUGAGAACCACAAGGAGAUGGGUCUUAAAGGAGAAACUACAACAUUUUGCUAUCAAUUAUGUUUUACCGAUUUGACGAAAUGUUAA
rnacentral:rRNA from 1 species